CGUACCGUAAGGCGUUCUGUUAAGUCAGAUAACGAACGAGACCCUCAUCUCUAUUUGCCACCAGAUCUCCGGAUCUGACGGGACUAUAGAGAGACCGCUGGCGCUAAGUCAGAGGAAGGGGAGGGCAACGGUAGGUCAGUAUGCUCCGAAUGCUAUGGGCUACACGCGCAAUACAAAGGACGGGACAAUGGGCUGCUACUCCGAAAGGAAUGACGCUAUCCCGAAACCCGUUCGUAGUUCGGAUUGAGGGCUGUAACUCGCCCUCAUGAAGCUGGAUUAGGUAGUAAUCGCGUCUCAAUAAGGCGCGGUGAAUAUGCCCCUGCUCCUUGCACACACCGCCCGUCA
rnacentral:rRNA from 1 species